CACGUACUCCCUCCAUCCCAUAUUGAUUGUCUCUGAAAUGGAUGUAUCUAGAUCUAUAUUAUUGCUAGAUGCAUCCGUUUGAUCGACAACUAAUAUGGGAUGGAGGGAGUAAUAA
rfam:Triticum urartu cultivar G1812 contig431120, whole genome shotgun sequence.